GAUGAACGCUGGCGGCGUGCCUAAUACAUGCAAGUCGAGCGAACGGACGAGAAGCUUGCUUCUCUGAUGUUAGCGGCGGACGGGUGAGUAACACGUGGAUAACCUACCUAUAAGACUGGGAUAACUUCGGGAAACCGUAGCUAAUACCGGAUAAUAUUUUGAACCGCAUGGUUCAAAAGUGAAAGACGGUCUUGCUGUCACUUAUAGAUGGAUCCGCGCUGCAUUAGCUAGUUGGUAAGGUAACGGCUUACCAAGGCAACGAUGCAUAGCCGACCUGAGAGGGUGAUCGGCCACACUGGAACUGAGACACGGUCCAGACUCCUACGGGAGGCAGCAGUGGGGAAUCUUCCGCAAUGGGCGAAAGCCUGACGGAGCAACGCCGCGUGAGUGAUGAAGGUCUUCGGAUCGUAGAACUCUGUUAUUAGGGAAGAACAUAUGUGUAAGUAACUGUGCACAUCUUGACGGUACCUAAUCAGAAAGCCACGGCUAACUACGUG
rnacentral:rRNA from 1 species